UAGCUAGUUGGUGAGGUAAAAGCUCACCAAGGCGACGAUCUGUAGCGGGUCUGAGGGGAUGAUCCGCCACACUGGAACUGAGACACGGUCCAGACUCCUACGGGAGGCAGCAGUGGGGAAUUUUGGACAAUGGGGGCAACCCUGAUCCAGCCAUGCCGCGUGAGUGAAGAAGGCCUUCGGGUUGUAAAGCUCUUUCAGCCGGGAAGAAAACGCAUGGGUUAAUACCCUGUGUGGAUGACGGUACCGGAAUAAGAAGCACCGGCUAACUACGUGCCAGCAGCCGCGGUAAUACGUAGGGUGCGAGCGUUAAUCGGAAUUACUGGGCGUAAAGCGUGCGCAGGCGGUUUUGUAAGACAGGCGUGAAAUCCCCGGGCUUAACCUGGGAACUGCGUUUGUGACUGCAAGGCUAGAGUACGGCAGAGGGGGGUGGAAUUCCACGUGUAGCAGUGAAAUGCGUAGAGAUGUGGAGGAACACCAAUGGCGAAGGCAGCCCCCUGGGUCGAUACUGACGCUCAUGCACGAAAGCGUGGGUAGCAAACAGGAUUAGAUACCCUGGUAGUCCACGCCCUAAACGAUGUCAACUAGGUGUUGGGAGGGUAAAACCUUUUAGUACCGGAGCUAACGCGUGAAGUUGACCGCCUGGGGAGUACGGCCGCAAGGUUAAAACUCAAAGGAAUUGACGGGGACCCGCACAAGCGGUGGAUGAUGUGGAUUAAUUCGAUGCAACGCGAAAAACCUUACCUACCCUUGACAUGCCAAGAACUUUCCAGAGAUGGAUUGGUGCCCGAAAGGGAACUUGGACACAGGUGCUGCAUGGCUGUCGUCAGCUCGUGUCGUGAGAUGUUGGGUUAAGUCCCGCAACGAGCGCAACCCUUGUCGUUAAUUGCCAUCAUUUAGUUGGGCACUUUAACGAGACUGCCGGUGACAAACCGGAGGAAGGUGGGGAUGACGUCAAGUCCUCAUGGCCCUUAUGGGUAGGGCUUCACACGUCAUACAAUGGUCGGUACAAAGGGUCGCCAAGCCGCGAGGUGGAGCCAAUCCCAGAAAGCCGAUCGUAGUCCGGAUCGCAGUCUGCAACUCGACUGCGUGAAGUCGGAAUCGCUAGUAAUCGUGGAUCAGAAUGUCACGGUGAAUACGUUCCCGGGUCUUGUACACACCGCCCGUCACACCAUGGGAGCGGGUUCCGCCAGAAGUAGGUAGCCUAACCGCAAGGAGGGCGCUUACCACGGCGGGGUUCGUGACUGGGGUGAAGUCGUAACAAGGUAGCCGUAGGGGAACCUGCGGCUG
rnacentral:rRNA from 1 species